ACAGGAGGGUGGAUCAUACGUGA
rnacentral:siRNA from 1 species